rnacentral:rRNA from 1 species
ACAGCAGCAGCCGCGGUAAUACGGAGGGUGCAAGCGUUAAUCGGAUUUACUGGGCGUAAAGCGUGCGUAGGCGGCUUCUUAAGUCGGAUGUGAAAUCCCUGAGCUUAACUUAGGAAUUGCAUUCGAUACUGGGAAGCUAGAGUAUGGGAGAGGAUGGUAGAAUUCCAGGUGUAGCGGUGAAAUGCGUAGAGAUCUGGAGGAAUACCGAUGGCGAAGGCAGCCAUCUGGUUUAAUACUGACGCUGAGGUACGAAAGCAUGGGGAGCAAACAGGAUUAGAUACCCCAGUAGUCCCUGUCUCUUAUAC